rnacentral:misc_RNA from 1 species
AAAGUCGUAACAAGGUUUCCGUAGGUGAACCUGCGGAAGGAUCAUUACAAAUCAAAAAGAUUCUCCUUAAAGUCCAUGCAGCGGGGCAGGAGGAAGCCGGUGACAAGUUGGGCACGAGGGUUGUCACCGGUAGACCGCUUCAUGAAAACAUGUCACUGUUGUGCUGCUACUGCUGUCACCGUCCCACAUAAGGAGCGGUGGUGGCAGUAGCGCUCACAGUGUCAUAUCUCAUUGUUAAAUCCUUUCAUGCUGACCGAUUGACUGCGAUGCCAUUGUGCAUCGUCGUUGUCGUCGUAGCAAUAUCUCAAUGAUAACGAGAUGACAGCCUUUUAACAACGGAUCUCUCGGCUCUU